GUAUAGCCACCAAUUUCUACUGAGUAUUUAUCUACUAUAUGGCAGGUCAAGUCUGCAUUCUGGGAUAAAGUGUUGACACAAUCUUGAAUCAGUGCCUAAGGAGUUCACAAGUCCAGAGAGGGGAUAGCGCAGAGAGAAGAUAAAGCAGAUGUCCAUCCAAAGACUUGUAUGUGAAUGUUCAUAGCAACUUUAUUUGUAAUAGCCAAAACCUGAAAGCAACCCAAAUGUAUGUUAAGAAGCGAAUGGAUACAUAAAUUGUGGCAUAUGCAUACAAUGGGAUACCCAGCAAUAAAAAGGAAUGAACUAUUCAGAGAUAAGAGAGCUGAAGAAGAGUGAAAAUAAAGAAACUUCUGCAAAGCCACACAUGUGUUUAAGAUAACUACAUCUUCACAGACCAGCAUUUCUGAAGAGAAACAAGUCCACAGCUCCCCAGUCUCAUUGGAAACACAGAUAGGAAGCAAGGGACAACAGAAGCCUAGAAUUCCUGUCAGGAUGCUUCAUUCGCAGCAUAUUCUACAAUUAUUCUGAGAGCUACAAGCAAGAAAGACGAGGGAGAACUGGGUUAGCUAAGAGUAAUGUGCAUAAACUGUUGUAGAAGAAGAAUGUUUAUUACAGUAGGAACAGAGGCAACAGCAACAUGGGUGGCUGGCAGUGAUAGAAAGGAUUUUAGUUUUGAUACAUGGAAUUUGACAUGCUUUUUGAAAAUCUUCAGAUGGUGAUGUACUGGUAUGAAAGAUUGGAACUACGCGGAACUCCAAAUUCAUAGUUGGUUCUCACCAUUAAACAUUUGCUGAUUUCUGGGGACAGAUAGGAAUUCUAAUAGGCAUAGCUGGCAAAGUGAAGGGAAGUCUCCCACAGUCUCAUAUUACUUGAAAAACAAAGUUCCAUUAAAAAGAAGAAGAUGGCUGUCAACAAAUUAGUAAUAGGCAAAUGGUGGAUAGGAAGCAGGACUAAAUUGCAGCUCCCACUCAGACAGAGAGUAGCUUGUGGAGACUCACAUUGUGAACUUUUGCUCCCAGAACUACUGCAGGAACAUAUGAGGAAAGAUGAGAGAAUCCACAGACUCUUUGAAGGAAGCAGAUUGCUCCUGCAGGGCCUGGGAGACAACCAAACACGGGGUCCUUAGGGAGAGGUGCCAGAGGAAUUGGAAAAAGGCCACAGGCAGAAGGAAGGCUCCAGCUAAACUUGAUCGGAAGUAUAAGGUACCUACUGGGGCCUCAGCUGAAAAUUUCAGGAGAGCCACCCUGAGGAGCAACUUGAGGUCUGGAUUGGAAACGCUGUCUGGUAACAGUAGGAGUGAGAUUGACCCAUCAUUUGGAUGACCCGAAACCACAGAUGCAAUAGAAGAAUGGAACAAAUUUGUACAUUUUGUCAAUAAAAACUUUAUCUUC
rnacentral:lncRNA from 1 species